rnacentral:rRNA from 1 species
CGGURGGCCCUUUCGGGGGUACACGAGUGGCGAACGGGUGAGUAACACGUGGGUGACCUGCCCUGUACUUCGGGAUAAGCCUGGGAAACUGGGUCUAAUACCGGAUAUGACCUUCUCCUGCAUGGGGGUUGGUGGAAAGUUUUUGCGGUACAGGAUGGGCCCGCGGCCUAUCAGCUUGUUGGUGGGGUAAUGGCCUACCAAGGCGACGACGGGUAGCCGGCCUGAGAGGGCGACCGGCCACACUGGGACUGAGACACGGCCCAGACUCCUACGGGAGGCAGCAGUGGGGAAUAUUGCACAAUGGGCGAAAGCCUGAUGCAGCGACGCCGCGUGAGGGAUGACGGCCUUCGGGUUGUAAACCUCUUUCAGUAGGGACGAAGCGCAAGUGACGGUACCUACAGAAGAAGCACCGGCCAACUACGUGCCAGCAGCCGCGGUAAUACGUAGGGUGCGAGCGUUGUCCGGAUUUACUGGGCGUAAAGAGCACGUAGGCGGUUUGUCACGUCGUCUGUGAAAACCCGAGGCUUAACCUCGGGCCUGCAGGCGAUACGGGCAGACUUGAGUACUGUAGGGGAGACUGGAAUUCCUGGUGUAGCGGUGGAAUGCGCAGAUAUCAGGAGGAACACCGGUGGCGAAGGCGGGUCUCUGGGCAGUAACUGACGCUGAGGAGCGAAAGCGUGGGUAGCGAACAGGAUUAGAUACCCUGGUAGUCCACGCCGUAAACGGUGGGUACUAGGUGUGGGUUUCCUUCCACGGGAUCCGUGCCGUAGCUAACGCAUUAAGUACCCCCGCCUGGGGGAGUACGGCCGCAAGGCUAAAACUCAAAGG